rnacentral:lncRNA from 1 species
UAAGUUUUGUUUGGUUAUUUGCUGUAGCAAAAUGUCGCAUUACGUCAUCUGUUCUUUAUUCUGAAGGGAACUAUAUCUUGAACUAUUGUCACGAGGCAUGUAUCCAGUCUCUGUGUUUAAAUGUUAUCGACUUGAGUGGCAAAAAAAAAAAAAAAAAAAAAAAAAAACGGAGAUGCAAGAUAAUAACUUUUUAAAACUACAAAAACAAUAA